GAUGAACGCUGGCUGCAUGCUUAAUACAUGCAAGUCGCGCGGACGCAUGGGGGUCUCUCUCCUCCGCCGUUAGCGGCCGACGCGCGGGUGACUCGCGGAUAACCAACCUAUCCUUCACCGCUGACUUCCGCGGCCAAGGUCUAAUACCUGCCAUUAUUUUUAACUUCACGGCUCCCGAGUGAAAGACGGGUUUGCUCUCACUUCUAGAUGGAUCCGCGCCGCAUUCGCUAGGUGGUAAGGUAACGGCUUACCAAGGCAACGAUGCGAAGCCGACCUGAGAGGGGGAUCGGCCACACUGGACCUGAGACACGGUCCAGACUCCUACGGGAGGCAGCAGUAGGGAAUCUUCCGCAAUGGGCGAAAGCCUGACGGAGCAACGCCGCGUGGGUGAUGAAGGUCUUCGGAUCGUAAAACUCUGUUAUUAGGGAAGAACAAAUGUGUAAGUAACUAUGCACGUCUUGACGGUACCUAAUCAGAAAGCCACGGCUAACUCCGUG
rnacentral:rRNA from 1 species